rnacentral:rRNA from 1 species
AUUGAACGCUGGCGGCAGGCCUAACACAUGCAAGUCGAGCGAGCGGCGGACGGGUGAGUAAUGUAUGGGGACUGCCUGAUAGAGGGGGAUAACUACUGGAAACGGUGGCUAAUACCGCAUACUAUCGGAUAACCCAUAUGGGAUUAGCUAGGAGGUGGGGUAAAGGCUCACCUAGGCGACGAUCUCUAGCUGGUCUGAGAGGAUGAUCAGCCACACUGGGACUGAGACACGGCCCAGACUCCUACGGAGGCAGCAGUGGGGAAUAUUGCACAAUGGGCGCAAGCCUGAUGCAGCCAUGCCGCGUGUAUGAAGAAGGCCUUAGGGUUGUAAAGUUCUGUCGGCGGGGAGGCGUUACCCGCAGAGAAAGCACCGGCUAACUCCGUGCCAGCCGCCGCGGUAAUAC